rnacentral:rRNA from 1 species
GACGUAGGGCGCGAGCGUUGUCCGGAUUUAUUGGGCGUAAAGAGCUCGUAGGCGGCUUGUCGCGUCGACUGUGAAAUCCCGCGGCUCAACUGCGGGUCUGCAGUCGAUACGGGCAGGCUAGAGUUCGGUAGGGGAGACUGGAAUUCCUGGUGUAGCGGUGAAAUGCGUAGAUAUCAAGAGGAACACCAGUGGCGAAGGCGAGUCCCUGGACGAUACCUGACACUGAGGCACGAAAGCUAGGGGAGCAAACAGG